CCGGCUAACUACGUGCCAGCAGCCGCGGUAAUACGUAGGGGGCGAGCGUUAUCCGAAUUUAUUGGGCGUAAAGCGUGUGUAGGCGGUUUGUUAAGUUUAAGAUUAAAGCCCGGGGCUCAACUCCGGUUCGUCUUAAAAACUGGCAGACUUGAGUGUGGUAGAGGUAAAUGGAAUUUCUAGUGUAGCGGUGGAAUGCGUAGAUAUUAGAAGGAACACCAGUGGCGAAGGCGAUUUACUGGGCCAUUACUGACGCUGAGACACGAAAGCGUGGGGAGCAAAUAGGAUUAGAUACCCUAGUAGUCCACGCCGUAAACGAUGAGUACUAAGUGUUGGAUUUUCCAGUGCUGUAGCUAACGUAUUAAGUACUCCGCCUGAGUAGUACGGCCGCAAGGCUGAAACUCAAAGGAAUUGACGGGCACCCGCACAAGCGGUGGAGCAUGCUGUUUAAUUCGAUGCUACGCGAAGAACCUUACCUAGACUUGACAUCCCUGGCAAAGCUAUAGAAAUAUAGUGGAGGUUACCCAGGUGACAGGUGGUGCAUGGUUGUCGUCAGCUCGUGUCGUGAGAUGUUCGGUUAAGUCCGAUAACGAGCGCAACCCUUAUCCUUAGUUGCUAACAUUUAGUUGAGAACCCUAAGGAGACUGCCGGUGAUAAACCGGAGGAAGGUGGGGAUGACGUCAAAUCAUCAUGCCCCUUACGUCUAGGGCUACAGGCGUGCUAUAAUGGCCGGUAUAAUGAGUCGCAAUACCGCGAGGUGGAGCUAAUCUCCAAAACCGGUCUCAGUUCGGAUUGAAGUCUGCAACUCGACUUCAUGAAGUUAGAAUCGCUAGUAAUCCCGAAUCAGAAUGUCGGGGUGAAUACGUUCCCGGGUGUUGUACACACCGCCCGUCACGCCACGAAAGUCUGUAAUACCCGAAGCUGAUAGCCUAACCCUUUUGGGAGGGGGUCAUUUAAGGUAGGACAGGUGAUUGGGGUGAAGUCGUAACAAGGUAUCCCUACCGGAAGGUGGGGAUG
rnacentral:rRNA from 1 species